GUCGGAUGAGCUAUUUUGGUAGAAGGGAAACAGUGCAUGAACUUCCUGAAUAUCCUCAUUUUUUCAGUUUCAUUUUGUGCACUUGGACUAUAAAUACACACCCAUCAAAUGACCGACAUUAUUUGGAAGAAACAUUUUACAAACGAAAUAUAAAUAUGUAAUUCACUGUGAACAUAAACACACCAACAAGAAAUGACAGUCAUGCUGCUGCAGUCUACGAUCAGUCCCGAUGACUUGGUACACUCAGCAUCAGGAAGUAAAGACAGACCAAUAUGGAGCAUCGGUUUGACACAGGAAAGUAGAAUGAUGCAGUAGACAGUUUGUCUGAUGCUGUGCGGACCUAUUCCACUGUCCAAUAAUUAUCCACAGAAGGCUUCAUACAAUACUCUAAGGAGUCUUCUGGAGGCUUUAUACACACAAGGAAGUGAAAGCGCAGGAGGACUACUGCGCAGAACGUUGUUAAAACAAAUCUCAUUGCACUCAUUUAAACAAAGG